rnacentral:rRNA from 1 species
AGCGAACGCUGGCGGCAGGCUUAACACAUGCAAGUCGAACGGGCGUAGCAAUACGUCAGUGGCAGACGGGUGAGUAACGCGUGGGAACGUACCUUUUGGUUCGGAACAACACAGGGGAAACUUGUGCUAAUACCGGAUAAGCCCUUACGGGGAAAGAUUUUAUCGCCGAAAAGAUCGGCCCGCGUCUGAUUAGCUAGUUGGUGAGGUAACGGCUCACCAAGGCGACGAUCAGUAGCUGGUCUGAGAGGAUGAUCAGCCACAUUGGGACUGAGACACGGCCCAAACUCCUACGGGAGGCAGCAGUGGGGAAUAUUGGACAAUGGGCGCAAGCCUGAUCCAGCCAUGCCGCGUGAGUGAUGAAGGCCCUAGGGUUGUAAAGCUCUUUUGUGCGGGAAGAUAAUGACGGUACCGCAAGAAUAAGCCCCGGUAACUUCGUG